UUUCCGUAGGUGAACCUGCGGAAGGAUCAUUAAAAAAUUGGACUCCAUUGGUGAGUUCAUUAAUAAUCCCUACCCUUUGUGAAUUUGUUUGUUUGAAUAAUUUUUUUUCCAAAAAAAAUUAUUGAAUGUCUUUCCUUGUUUUGGUGGAGCUUGUAAAGUGAAACCAGGCAGGGGAAUGGCAAACAAUAAUUAUUUUUGAAAAGACCUUUUUUUAAAAUUAAACUUUUUGUAUUCAUUUGUCUAAAAUUAAUUUUUAUAAUAUGAAAACAACUUUUGACAAUGGAUCUCUUGGUUCUCGCAACGAUGAAGAACGCAGCAAAAUGCGAUAAGUAGUGUGAACUGCAGAAUACGUGAAUCAUCGAAUCUUCGAACGCAUAUUGCACUUUUUUAGUUUACUAAAAAAGUAUGUCUGUUUGAGUAUCAGUAAAAUAUUCUCAUAAAAAACAUUGUUUUUUUUAUGGUUAUGAGUGUUUUACAACGAUAACAAGUUGUUUCACUUUAAAUUCUUUGUUAUCAAAAAAUCAUUAAAAGCUAAUUUUAAAGAUUUUUUAAAAUUGGAUAAAAUUUUCCCGUAAAAAGGAACAACCUAAACAAUUUUAAAAAAUUAAAAUUGGUUUGAUUUUUUUUGAAACCCAAAGGAAAAAAAACGAAAUUAACUUGAUCUCAAAUCAGAUAAGAGUACCCGCUGAACUUAAGCAUAUCAAUGAGCGGAGGAAAAGAAACUAACUAGGAUUCCCUCAGUAACGGCGAGUGAAGCGGGAAGAGCUCAAAUUUGAAAUCUUCAAGGUUUUACCUUGACGAAUUGUAGUUUAAAGAAGUGUUUUCUGUUGGAGUUUUGGUAAAAGUUCUUUGGAAAAGGACAUCAUAGAGGGUGAGAAUCCCGUAUUUGACCAUUAUCUCCAGCUUUGUGAUACACUUUCAAAGAGUCGGAUUGUUUGGGAAUGCAGUCCAAAAUGGGUGGUAAAUUUCAUCUAAAGCUAAAUACUGGCGAGAGACCGAUAGCGAACAAGUACCGUGAGGGAAAGAUGAAAAGAACUUUGAAAAGAGAGUUAAACAGUACGUGAAAUUGUCAAAAGGGAAGCGUUUGACACCAGUGUUGUUUUCUCGAAAAUCAAUUAAAAAAGGCCGGAUUUUGUGUUGUAUUGACUUUAUCAGCUUUCUGCACUCUUUUCUUGUCUUUUUUAAUGCACUUUUCGUUUAACAAGUCAACAUCAAUUUCUUUUGUUGUAAAAGGGUCAUUGGAAGGUGGCUUUCUUUUCGGAGAAAGUGUUUAUAGCCUUUGGCCUCUGCAAUCGGAGAGAUUGAGGUCUGCAGCGUAGAUCCUUCGGGGUUAGAUACAUUUGUGCUAAGUUAUAGCCUUUCAUAGUCAACUUGUUGACUAUGAUCAGUCAUGUAGCUUACUCGCUUAUGCUAUUU
rnacentral:misc_RNA from 1 species